ensembl:snRNA U1 U1 spliceosomal RNA
AUACUUACUGUACCUGGCAGACACCUUGAUCACGAAUGAGGUUCACCUAGGGCGAGUCUCAGCCAUUGUACUCCGGCCAUGCUGACCCCUGCGAAUUCCCCAAAUGUGGGAAUCUCGACAGUAAUUUGUGGUAGUGGGGGACUGCGUCCACGCUCUCCCAUG